AGUUACUGUGAGACAAAGACAAAAAUGUCAUGUUUCAAUGAAAGAAAAUCAAAGAGACAAAAAAGUCUGUACAGUACUGCUUUAAAUGAGCUGUAAUAUAAGUAAACUGAGUCAACUAAACGGUUGCAAUAACAUGUUUAGUACAUUCAUUAAGUAAAUAAUACACAUUUAACAAGUAGAAAGAAAUGUAAAGAGUCAUGGCAGCAGCAGGUGUGAUGUUGCCCGGCAGUGCCAUAGCAACGCAGGUAAUGGCUCCAGGACAACGGCGACAAUGCGAGGAGCUCCAUAGCCAUUGUUUACUCGCAGAGGAGCUCAAAGGCGCCGUCCAGAGAAAACGUGUCCGGCAGCGGAGAGCCGCGGUCCUACCCUGUCUGCUUCCGCCGAGUUCCGGCCGCUGCUCGCUCCGACGCCGCGCCGUCUGGGAGUGACGCUGCCCGACAGAGUCAGCUCACAAGCGGAGACGCUGACGCGGCGGUACCGAUGUCCACACACUGACUUUCUGUGUUCCCUCACUGCUGUUUGUCACGCUGUGAAAGACCUCAUUUACAACCGUAAACUCCGUAAAGGAAGAGCAGUACGUCUCUAUUCAAGUUUUUUUUUGUUGUUUUUUUCUAACGGGAGGAGGGACUAUAUGGCACCAAGAAGUUUAGUAUU